GCAUUAUUAGCCUCAUAAAUGU
rnacentral:sRNA from 1 species